rnacentral:lncRNA from 1 species
UCAGAUUCAAGGCAUUUUCCAUUCUACCUCUUCAACUUGUUCUGCAUUCCAGCAAAUAGCCACAAAGCCUCUCUGCGCAAGGUUAGAAGACCCAAGUAGCUGCUAGCUGCUGUAGGACAGCACAUGGAGAGUUGCAAGAAUACAUUUGCCAGCAGGAAAUUAAUCUGUGACAAUUCCAUUGAGUUUUCUCAGCCUCGUGUCCGGUUUGAUGAAUAACCCCGUGGAAAAUUCAGAAUUUCAGCAGUGAAAACUGUUAGCUUCUCAUGCGCGCCCAAUUAACCCACUUUUCUGUUGUGACAACCUCACUUGAAUCUCUUUUCUUUUUACUGCUUUUAGAGCCAAAGGUUUUUUCCUCUCAUUACCAACAACAUGCUUUGCUUACAUUCUUAUGGCCUAGUAAUAAGAGGAUCAUUAGUUAAUACACUUAGCGCAUGUUACUUUAGCACUGUGUUUAUUUGCCAGUUGGCUUCUUGUACUCCAUAGCUUAGUGCUAUUAUCUAUUUAUAUUGGGUGACCUUAUUUAAUCUUCCCAAAAAUUAAGUUAUUAAAUGUUAAAUAUCUUUAAACCUUACAUACUGUAAAUCAGUUGUCGGCAGUCUAGGGCCCUAAUUUCUGAUGGUUGUGAGUGAUUGUGGGAUCAUAUGUAUGUAU